CCCAACCCAGCUGUUUUCCUGGAGCUGUUUCCUGUACAGGUAGCUCUCCCUGCCUGGCCCUCUCAACUGGCCUUGACUCUUCUCAUCCCUACUGUCCCUUGAAAGGAACGAAAGCCCCCCAUGAUGGAUGCCACACCCUUCUCCAGACUCCACAGGACUACCCAAGCAACCAGGUGGAGGGGAGCACAACAGCUGCAGGAUGAUCAGAGCUGGAGAUAACCUGGAAGGUAGUAGUAUGAGCACCUUUUAUCAGCUUCGGUUUAUAUGCAAAGAAAGCCCUUUCCUAGAAGAAGAAGAGGAUGACGAAGAAGAGGAGGAAGAGGAAGAAGAGGAAAAUUGAGAUCUUGCUACAGUUGUGUGUGCGUUGGUGACCUCCAGAGUACACAGUGAUGUACUCUGUGUGGGACUGCCCUUGAAAGGUGUUUAAAAAUAUCCACUUAUGCAAAAUGACUCCACCAUACUGAGAAUAAGCUGACUGGAGUAUAUCUCUCUAGUAUUGUUUGCUCUGCACUACUUGUCUUUUGAGGCUUAAUUCAAGGUGUUAGUCUUGACCUCUAAA